rnacentral:sRNA from 1 species
CUGGUUCCUGUGAGGGUUUGGUUUCGGGCUUGAGCUCUCUGCGUUCUGGGCUCGGUGAUUCAGCCACAGCUUCUGCCUCCCGUUGCUCUGUGACCUGAGGGCGUUGGGCGAUUUGUAGCUAAGACUCCCGGAUACCCUGAAGUCGGGAAAUGGAACUCUUAACAUUCAGGGAUGUGGCCAUAGAAUUCUCCCCUGAAGAGUGGAAAUGUCUGGACCCUGCCCAGCAGAAUUUGUAUAGAGAUGUGAUGUUGGAGAACUACAGGAACCUGGUCUCCCUGGGUUUUGUGAUCUCUAACCCAGACCUGGUCACCUGUCUGGAGCAAAUAAAAGAGCCCUGCGAUUUGAAGAUACAUGAGACAGCAGCCAAACCCCCAGGUAGGUGAGACUGAAUGAAGGAGAGGACACAGGCUAGGAGGCCCGAGGUCAGGAAGGAAGCCAGGCCUUCAAAUGUAGUUUGGGAAACUGCGCCAAUAAAAAUAAUUUCUGAAAGGGCUGUAUUUUUUCUCUUAUUCACAAAUAGGGUCAUCUUCUGUCCUAUGCUCUUAAAUCUUCUAAGAUUUUCCUUUUUUUCUUCAGUGAUCUCCAUUCAAGUUUACAGGGAGAGCCAAUGUCCACUUCAUCGCUUAUAACGGGCUGCGUAAUCUGACUGCUGUUCCAUUGCUUUUAGAGACAUAGGAGUAUUUGUAUUAUUGAGGACCUCUAUGUUAAAAUAUUUUUUCAAAUAUUAUUUUCGCAUCAUG